AAAAUUGUGAGCCAAUCCAACCCGACCCGAUUAUGUCAUAGGCCAGCUAUGGGUCAAUAUUUUUUUACCUCAAAUCCGAAGUGACCCGACAGAUGAAUAGGUAUAGUCCGGUGGAAUCAAGAGACUGUCGUCACCAUCAGGAUCACGGAAGGGCUGAGUACGGGCGCUCACGCAACCGCGGCAAGGCAGUGUAUCAGCGCCGCCUCGCCGGUGAUGGACCGGUGGUGGCGCCGGGAGCGAACACGCAGUGGAAGGCGCACGGCCGCCUUGCCUUACGCGACCGCGGCAUUCAGAGGAACACUCUGCUGGAAUUGCUGAAGAUACCGCUUGAUGGUACUGGUCCUUCAAAAUCAUUUAGUGACAGAUUGAGUGCCUGCAAAGAACUCAACAAGGCGAGGAACUCUGGAAUUUUCCCUGACAAUUUGUUUCUAGAGAGAUCCAUUUCCUUGAUGCUUUUCAAGUUCAUGAGAGAUUCUGGAAUAUUUCCUGUAAGAAAAUUCCCUUCCAUGUGAAGAAAUUCCAAAAGCACACACUUACCUAGAGUAGAUGGAAUAUCACCAGUCAAGCGGUUAUUGGAAAUACUAAUGCUUCCAAGAUUGAUGAGUCUACCGAUCUCCAUCAGUAUGGGCCCUGUAAAGAAAUUGUUUGACAAAUCCAAGCUUUGUGAAAGUGAUGAGAUAUUGAAGAUCUCACUUGGGAUGCUUCCAUCGAAGGAAUUGUGAGAGACAUUCAGCAUCUGUAAUUGUCUCCAUUGGCCUAAACUUUUAGGUAUAUUCCCACUGAAGUUGUUCCCAUCCAGAUAAAACUCAGUUAGUUGGUCAAGGUUGCCAAUAGAGUCCGGAACAUAUCCAGAAAGGUUAUUUUGUGCAAAGCUUAGAACCAAUAAAUUUCUCAAAUUUCCCAUGGUAGGUGGUAUACUACCACUGAACAGGUUCAGAUCCAUAUACAACACUUUGAGGCUCCUAAGGUUUCCUAUCUCCAUUGGAAUUCCUCCAGUAAAUUUGUUUUGAUUGAGCCAUAGCCACUCCAGUUGCGAGGGAAGGUUACCAAUAGAACUUGGCAAGCUUCCUCGCAUACCAUUCCCAUCCAAGAAUAGCCAUUUUAGUUGAGUACAGUUUGCAAGGGAUGAGAGGAAGCUCCAAUCACCUGAUUCAAGCUGGUUGUAGGAAAGAUCAAGCUCCCGUAGGUUUGGUAAGGACCCAAAGGAUGGCACUGUCCCACUGAGUCCAGUGCUGACAAGAUAAAUCAUUUCUAGUUUGGAUGCAUUUACAAGAGAAGCCGGAAUCCCCCCACUCAAUUGUGUUUUUGACAGAAUCAAGCUCUGCAGGUUUGGAAGCCUGUAGCCAAUGUCUUGUGGCAGCCGUGCGGUGAGUGAGUUAUUGGCCAUUUCUAGAAAUUUCAAAGAAGACAUGUUGAAAAUAGACUGAGGCACUGGUCCAGACAAGUUGUUGAAUGUCAGAAUCAGCCUCUCAAGGGAAGGGAUGUUACUUAAGCUUUCUGGAAUGCUUCCAACCAAGUUAUUUACUGCAAGAGACAAACGAAUCAGGGAGGAAAGGUUGCCCAGUGAGGCUGGUAUCUCACCUGUAAGACUAUUCUGGGCUAGAAUUAGCAUUUUAAUAGGUGCAGCAGCUGCUGUGACAGUUGGUAUUGGGCCAACUAAUUUGUUACUCUGGAGGUAAAUGCUAGUCAGAGUGGAAGUAUUGAAGAGCGACGGGGGUAUCUCCCCAGUAAGGCUAUUUUGCAUGAGCCUAAGAACUUGAAGAGAUGAGCUAUUUGCCAAGAACUCUGGUAUUCCUCCUGUUAGCUGAUUAGCCCCAAGAUCAAGAUACACAAGAGAUGAGCUGCUGCCCAGCAAUGAUGGUAUAUUGCCUGUGAGGGCAUUGUUGGACAGGUCCAAAGUUUCCAGCUCACGAAGCAGCCCAAACCCAGUUGGGAUGCUUCCUUGCAACUUAUUGUUGUUUAGUGCAACUUGCUGGAGAUGAAUGCAUUGGGUUAAGCUUGGUGGGAUCUCACCUUGAAGGGAGUUUUUCCAUAAGCUGAGGACCUGGAGAUGGCUGCAGGAAGAUAGCUCAGUUGGGAUAUGUCCAUCAAGAGAGUUGAUGCUUAGGUUGAGGUAGAUGAUUUGGCUCAGGCUCCCAAGUUCAUUUGGGAUGCUUCCAUGGAAUGUAUUGUUUGACAAGUCAAUGCUUCUAAUGGCACUCAGGUUGCCUACACAAGGUGGUACUGGGCCACCAAGACCUUCAGAGCUCAAGUUUAGUGCCAUGACUCGAAAUGGGGUCUGUGCGCUGCAUGUAACACCUUGCCAGUUGCAGAAGUUAAGGGAUAUGUUGCUCCAAGAGACUAAGGCUCCACUGGGAUCAGAGAUUUGAGACUUGAAGCAGAGGAGAGCUUGUCGAUCAGUAUCGGUGUCAUCGCUAGUUGCUAAUGGCAUGGAGCAUGAGAGGAUGAGAAAAGCCAGUAGUGGUAUGAGCUCUAUAUGGGAUGCACCUAAGCUAAUCAUCUUGCAGCAGGUGCUGGGCAAUGCUGAAGCUCCGUUGUGCUUAUGAAAGUGUAUACACAUCCUUUUCUUAUAUACAUUUUCGCUCACCCAAUGACAUGGUCUAAUCUCACUAGUUUAAAAACAAAUUCUCUUCCUAACUGAAAAAUACUGAUAUUGACACAUUGAUUCUAUUGUGUAUGUCAAAUCUUGUGAGUUGACUACAGUUUCUGAGGUCUGACUCAUAUAAUCUAUUUGACUGUUAAUUGCUUUAUUUUCUGUCUCACAUUUGAAGAUGGCAACAGCCCAAUGUCAUGUUCACCAUGCAGUUCCUCCUCAGGAGAUUAAUAGAAAAUAAUGGAAUUUAGAUUGGAGAAUAUUUGUGCGUAUACAUACUUUUGUGGAUCAUAGAUGUAUUGCCAUAUUUGUUCCUUCUUGCGUACUUGUGCUUUCUUCUAAAAAACAAUUUCACUGAGGUAUGCUGCCAUUUGACAGUGACAUUUAACAACUAAAUUUAUGAUAACUUAGUUGAAUAACAGCAUACUGACAAGGACUGAGAAGACAAUGCUGAUUACUGAAUUGAAUGGAUGACAGACAGUAGUAAGAGUUUAAGACAAUGAUUUCCAGCGUUGGACAGAAUCCUCUUUUUGUAUUUACUGUUUACUCCCCUGUGACAUUCCUUAGCAGUGCGCAUAAACAGUAGAGUUUUAGCCUUUGUAGGCAAGACCAAAUUUUGAGCCCCUGUACAUUUUGAAUGAUAAUAGUUAAAGUUUCAUUUUAUAUGCAGGAUUAUCCCAGUCAGGAUUUAAAGAUAUAAAAUAUUGUUCAUAUUCGAAUUUCAUCUCUUAUAUAUAUUAUGUGCAUUCUUUGAAUAUUUAUAUUGUAUGUUGAGAUUCUUUCGAUGACUCAGUUUGCAUUGGCCACCUAUCUUCAGCGUAGGCGCCAAGGAAGAUAAUCCAAACAUGGAUGAGACUGACUCUGCCUGUAAAUGGAAUCAAUGAUCCCAGCUCAGUAUUGUAUAGCCAAUGAUUAGCCAUAUUCUGGUUAAAGAGGCCACUGAACCCAGGACACCUUGGUCGAAUAAUGUAAUGAUCCGUGAAAUAAUCUGCAUGUGUACACUGUACAACAAUGGUAAGAUGAUUUGGCAUACUGAUGCAGUUGCUUAAUGCGCAUGAUGCUUCAUUCUUUAUUUUUUAGAACAAUAACAUCUUUAGUGUAUAACCUCAAGUGAUUGCUUCCAUAUGGCAGUUAGUGAGAAGCAACAAGGCGAUAUAGUGACCACUGACCAGAUCGACACAGGAAGCAAGUGAUCUGUGUGAAUUGAUUCAGUGUAAGCACGAAGGUCUUACACGAAUAAUCUCGUCCUCUGAAUUUUAUUCCACUGGAUGUCAUGCAUUAUAACACAUACUAUAUAUCAUCUCGGAGACUUUGACUUUGACGUUUGACCUUGUAUUAGCCCUUAAGGCCAGGAAAGCGCAACAUCAUUGAGACACGAAGGAAUUCUGAAUCACCAUGGGAGCUGCAACGCUGCGAAUGUCUCAGGUACAUGCAGUGCUAGUCCUGUGCAUCUUGCUGCCGUCAUUUCUACCUGUUUCCCUCUCUGCCCGUCCAGGUAAACCACACCCUUUAUUCUUGGUUUGUCAUUUGUGUGACCAUGUCACCAGUACUCUUCUUUCUAGUCCAAGUGAUUGAUUUGGUGCAACUUGGUAAGAGAUGGCCUAGCUAGAUACUUUGAUUAUGAUCUUCUUCAGUAUCAACUAAUGGCAGUGAUUGAUGGCAAACUGGAGGGGAUGACUGUGCCUUCCCGGCUGAUGCUAGGAGGUCAUCAGUUAAUUCACGAUGGCUCAAUGAGACGGGAUCGAACUUUGUGGGAUGGCGGUACUGGCUGGGGACACCCCGUUCCUAUCAACUCGGCGCGGAAAACCAUACGAGGAAAGCCUGGCAAUUGAUAUUCUCUACUGGAAAAGAGUGAACGUACCGGUGGAAUGAAUUCUUGGUAGAUGCUUUUCAUGUCCUGGCCGAUAUAGUAUGCCAGUUUCCUAUCAAUACUGCACCAUGCAAAUAAUAAUUGAUGUGCUCCAUGGAGAGGGUAUAAACUGUUGGAUGAUGUACUGUAGUACUAGGAGGACAUUACUUUGUCCCAUGACUGCCAUCAUUUAUCUGUUUUUGUACCGAGAUGUUAGCAACUUAUAAAAGCAAACUUUAUUUAUUUGACCUUUGAGGACU